GACGGUAUAGCUCAGGGGGAGAGUGCAUGCUUAGCAGGCACAAGGUCCUGGGUUCAAUCCCCAGUGCCUCCA
rnacentral:tRNA from 1 species